rnacentral:RNase_P_RNA from 2 species
CGAGCAAGUCAGACAGCCGCGGGUGCAGUGCCGAAAGGCCGCAUCUGAGGAAAGUCCGAGCUUCACAGGGCAGGAUAGCGGGUAACGCCCGCCGGAGGCGACUCCAGGGAAAGUGCAACAGAAAUAUACCGCCGCGUAAGCGGUAAGGGUGGAAAGGCGAGGUAAGAGCUCACCGGCGCACAGGAGACUGUGCGGCCCUGCAAACCCUAUCCGAAGCAACACCGCAUAGAGGAACGUAUACGCUGGCCCGGCGUGUUCCGGGAAGGUGGCUUGAGCUGCACGGCAACGUGUAGUCGAGAUAGAUGGCUGUCAAAUACAGAACUCGGCUUAUAGACUUACUCGUGCC